GGGGGGGGGUGGGGGCGGGGCGGGCGCAGGCGGGGCGAGCGGGGCCGUCGGGGCUGGUGGCGCACGGGUGCGUAACGCGUGGGAACCGGCCCUUAGGUUCGGAAUAACUCCCCGAAGGGGGUGCUAAUACCGGAUAAUGUCGUCGGACCAACGAUUUAUCGCCUUUGGAUGGGCCCGCGUUGGAUUAGCUAGUUGGUAGGGUAAAAGCCUACCAAGGCGACGAUCAAUAGCUGGUCUGAGAGGAUGAUCAGCCACACUGGGACUGAGACACGGCCCAGACUCCUACGGGAGGCAGCAGUGGGGAAUAUUGGACAAUGGGCGAAAGCCUGAUCCAGCAAUGCCGCGUGAGUGAUGAAGGCCUUAGGGUUGUAAAGCUCUUUUACCCGGGAUGAUAAUGACAGUACCGGGAGAAUAAGCUCCGGCUAACUCCGUG
rnacentral:rRNA from 1 species